UACGUAGGGUGCGAGCGUUAAUCGGAAUUACUGGGCGUAAAGCGUGCGCAGGCGGUGAGGUAAGACCGAUGUGAAAUCCCCGGGCUUAACCUGGGAACUGCAUUGGUGACUGCAUUGCUCGAGUAUGGCAGAGGGGGGUGGAAUUCCACGUGUAGCAGUGAAAUGCGUAGAGAUGUGGAGGAACACCGAUGGCGAAGGCAGCCCCCUGGGCCAAUACUGACGCUCAUGCACGAAAGCGUGGGGAGCAAACAGG
rnacentral:rRNA from 1 species